ensembl:lncRNA
UUUUGAGUUAAUUUUUAUACAUGAUAUUGGGUAAGGGUCUGUCUUAGUCUGCUCAGGCUGCUAUAAAAAAUUUUUUUGAAAUAGGUAGUUUGGACUGGGCGUGGUGGCUCAUGCCUUUUCAAUCUUUUAAUACCUUAAAUAUUUAAGUUAGUAAAAUUGCUAAGAAAAAUUGUUCAUUUUAAGUGCAAAUUAUUCCCUUUUCUUUUUUCUAUUAUUAAAUAUGUAUUUUAUGAAUAAAAAGUUAAUGUUUUUAACUAGGAAUUAAAAUGUACUUCUGAUUUUUAGGCUUGUUUUGUGCCAGUUGUCAUUUUUCACACACACACAUGCACACACCCCACCAUCACCACCACCACCACCACCAUCAUUUCUGUAAACCAAUCAACAGUGGAGACACUAGAGACUAUUAUGUGAAAACCGUUUAUUCUAUAGCCUACUGGGAAUUGGCUAGAAGUUAGACGGACAUUGGAAAUGACUUUUAAAUCUUCAUUUGAGAAAAAGCAUGCCAUGAGUCUAAAUAACCAAUGUCAUUUAGCAAACAAAAUACAAGUGAACAAAACACGAUUUCUCUGAUGAAUGAAGUGGUUGCCAUAGUUUUUCCCAAUAUGUAAAGAUAGUUCUCAUAAGAAAUAUACCACCUAAGCAGUAGUGAUCAGAAUAUUAUGCAAACUUAUUGGGGGUAAUUUAAAUUCCAAAUCAGAAGAAUAGAAGACAUAAAAGUCUUUCUUCAAAAGAAAAACAAAACAAAAAACAAGACCCGUUCUAUGUCAAAUGAUACAGAAAUGGCACUGGCUUCCUUUAUGUUGACUGAGAUACUUUUUACUGCAGAGCAAAUUAAAAAGAUAUGCUCACCCCACUUUUAUUUUUAUGCACUACUUUUAGUUCUGUGGAAAUGAAAGCUAUACUGAAUUUAAAACUUUUUACACACAUAAUCCUGUGCAAAUUUUGUAAUCCUUUGUUUGACAGAUAUUAACCCAACUUUCUAAUAUAUUUUGUAUAUGUUUCUUUUUGUUUGAGACAAAGUCUCACUCUGUCACUCAGGCUGGAGGGCAGUGGUGCAAUCACAGUUCACUGCAGCUUCCACCUCCUGGGCACAGGUGAUCUCACCUCAGCUUCCCAGGUAGCUGGGACCACAGGCGUGCACCACCAUGCCCGGCUAACUUUUUGUGUGUGUAUAUAUAUAUACAUUUUUUUUUUUGUAGAGAUGACGUUUUACCAUGUUGCCCACAUUGGAUAUUUUGUAUACAUUUCAAAAGGCAACUACAAAAAUUGGUUUUUCAUAUUUCUACAAAUAUUGUACAGAAUGUUUAAUAUCUUGUAAAUAUGGAAGCUGUGACAAAUUUUUGUACUUAGAAAGUAUGACAAUCUGAAAAUCAACAUUUUACAGAAAUGACACCAUUCUGUUGAAACUGGAGUAUACUGCACUUAUAUAUCAUUAUUUCUAAUAUACACCUAAUUAUUAGAGAAAUUAGUGCACUAAAGGACAGUGGUGGUUUUUAAAAAUGGUAUCUUUGCUGUGGCAAGUUUGUCCUGCUCUGACCAAAGCAACAUUUGAACCAACAGGCCCUUCUAAUCUUACGCCAGCAGCACAAUGGGAUCGAGGCCAGGUUCUUGUGCAAUUUGUGAAACCUUUGGUUUGCAGAGUUGUUAGCGUAGUGGCUUGGCUCAUCAGUUCUGAGCAUUUGAAUACCUAAUGUUUCAAACUGUUAGUCCUGUUCUGAUUUAUAUUCAUCCCUGCCAUUCCUAUUAACUUAAUUACACCUGCCCACAACUUAAUUUACUUGCCUUUGUUACUACAGUUUGAACUCCAGCUACAUUUUUCUAAGAAAUUAAAUUGCUAGGUUUUUAUAGCUGACUGCACUCUUCCAACUUCUCUACAGACUUUAUGGUCUUUUUGGACUUUGCUUUUUAGCACAUGUUGGAAACUGUUAGGAAGUUUUCUUGCAGCACACUUGAAGUUAAAUAGCUUUUUCCAAGUUUAAUACGGUUUGAUGGCUCUUCUUGGGGUGUAGAUGGGUGGGGGCACUUGCAUUGCCCGUUGGAGGAG